GACGAACGCUGGCGGCGUGCUUAACACAUGCAAGUCGAACGGAGAGGCCCUGCUUUUGUGGGGUGCUCGAGUGGCGAACGGGUGAGUAACACGUGAGUAACCUGCCCUUGACUUUGGGAUAACUUCAGGAAACUGGGGCUAAUACCGGAUAGGAGCUCCUGCUGCAUGGUGGGGGUUGGAAAGUUUCGGCGGUUGGGGAUGGACUCGCGGCUUAUCAGCUUGUUGGUGGGGUAGUGGCUUACCAAGGCUUUGACGGGUAGCCGGCCUGAGAGGGUGACCGGCCACAUUGGGACUGAGAUACGGCCCAGACUCCUACGGGAGGCAGCAGUGGGGAAUAUUGCACAAUGGGCGGAAGCCUGAUGCAGCAACGCCGCGUGCGGGAUGACGGCCUUCGGGUUGUAAACCGCUUUCGCCUGUGACGAAGCGUGAGUGACGGUAAUGGGUAAAGAAGCACCGGCUAACUACGUGCCAGCAGCCGCGGUGAUACGUAGGGUGCGAGCGUUGUCCGGAUUUAUUGGGCGUAAAGGGCUCGUAGGUGGUUGAUCGCGUCGGAAGUGUAAUCUUGGGGCUUAACCCUGAGCGUGCUUUCGAUACGGGUUGACUUGAGGAAGGUAGGGGAGAAUGGAAUUCCUGGUGGAGCGGUGGAAUGCGCAGAUAUCAGGAGGAACACCAGUGGCGAAGGCGGUUCUCUGGGCCUUUCCUGACGCUGAGGAGCGAAAGCGUGGGGAGCGAACAGGCUUAGAUACCCUGGUAGUCCACGCUGUAAACGGUGGGUACUAGGUGUGGGGUCCAUUCCACGGGUUCCGUGCCGUAGCUAACGCUUUAAGUACCCCGCCUGGGGAGUACGGCCGCAAGGCUAAAGCUCAAAGGAAUUGACGAGGCCCCGCACAAGCGGCGGAGCAUGCGGAUUAAUUCGAUGCAACGCGUAGAACCUUACCUGGGUUUGACAUGGAUCGGGAGCGCUCAGAGAUGGGUGUGCCUCUUUUGGGGUCGGUUCACAGGUGGUGCAUGGCUGUCGUCAGCUCGUGUCGUGAGAUGUUGGGUUAAGUCCCGCAACGAGCGCAACCCUUGUUCACUGUUGCCAGCACGUUAUGGUGGGGACUCAGUGGAGACCGCCGGGGUCAACUCGGAGGAAGGUGGGGAUGACGUCAAGUCAUCAUGCCCCUUAUGUCCAGGGCUUCACGCAUGCUACAAUGGCUGGUACAGAGAGUGGCGAGCCUGUGAGGGUGAGCGAAUCUCGGAAAGCCGGUCUCAGUUCGGAUUGGGGUCUGCAACUCGACCUCAUGAAGUCGGAGUCGCUAGUAAUCGCAGAUCAGCAACGCUGCGGUGAAUACGUUCCCGGG
rnacentral:rRNA from 1 species